rnacentral:rRNA from 1 species
CCUACGGGAGGCAGCAGUGGGGAAUCUUGCGCAAUGGGAGCAAUCCUGACGCAGCGACGCCGCGUGGGGGAGGAAGGGCUUCGGCUCGUAAACCCCUGUUGCCCGGGGCGAACCUCUGGUUUCGACCAGACUGACGGUACCGGGUGAGGAAGCACCGGCUAACUCCGUGCCAGCAGCCGCGGUAAUACGGAGGGUGCGAGCGUUGUCCGGAAUCACUGGGCGUAAAGGGCGCGUAGGCGGCAUGCCAAGCGUGUGGUGAAAGCCCGGGGCUCAACCCCGGGUCGGCCGUGCGGACUGGCGUGCUCGAGCACUGUAGGGGCGGGUGGAAUUCCGGGUGUAGCGGUGGAAUGCGUAGAGAUCCGGAAGAACACCGGUGGCGAAGGCGGCCCGCUGGGCAGGAAGGAAGCGUAAGCUUCCGGCUGACGCUGAGGCGCGACAGCGUGGGGAGCAAACAGGAUUAGAUACCCUGGUAGUCCACGCCGUAAACGAUGGGCACUAGGUGCUUGGGGGAGCGACCCUCCGGGUGCCGGCGCUAACGCAUUAAGUGCCCCGCCUGGGGAGUACGGCCGCAAGGCUGAAACUCAAAGGAAUUGACGGGGGCCCGCACAAGCGGUGGAGCAUGUGGUUUAAUUCGACGCAACGCGAAGAACCUUACCUGGGCUUGACAUGCACGGGAAAACCCUCCAGAAACGGGGGGGCCCUCUUCGGAGUCCGUGCACAGGUGCUGCAUGGCUGUCGUCAACUUCGUGUCGUGAGAUGUUUGGGUUUAAGUCCCGGAAACGAAGCGC